CAACUUUUAACGGUGGAUCUCUUGGCUCGUGCAUCGAUGAAGAACGCAGCCAGCUGCGAUAAGUAGUGUGAAUUGCAGAACUCAGUGAAUCAUCGAAUCUUUGAACGCAAAUGGCGCUCUUGGGUUCUCCCAGGAGCAUGUCUGUCCGAGUGUCGGC
rnacentral:rRNA from 1 species